rnacentral:tRNA from 1 species
GCCUGGGUGGCUCAGUCAGUUGAGUGUCUGACUUCGGCUCAGGCCAUGAUCUCGCACUUCGUGGGUUCAAGCCCCAUGUUGGGCU